rnacentral:lncRNA from 1 species
UGGUGCUCAAAUGAUACCGUUUCUUCUUUGUUAGAGAAAUGUUUUAGUUUCAGAUUGGUUCAUCCACUGUUUUAUUCAAUAUGAACACUUGUUAGACUUGAAUGAAGUCUUGAUUCGUGAUUUAUUUGCAGGAAUUGAUACAUAAUUUGUUUUGUCCUUGCUUUAUUGAUCCUCCGGAAUCAUAUCUUACACCGCAUCACUUGAAUUAUCAACAGCAAUCCGAUUCUUUGUCGAUAUCAAGAAACCUGCCAUUUAUAGGUCGUCGGCUUCCGAAUUUUGUUCAUCACUUCCCGUAUUUAUGAACACAUCUAGGUUAAUUUUGCACCACGGUCACUUGUCGGCAUUUCGGUUCAUGUUGCUCUUCUACAUUUUUUAUGUGCACAAAAGCAAACGAUACCGCAGCUGAGAGGGAGUAAAAUACCAGCUCUAAACGAUACAAAAAUGAAAAUGUUUCCGUUCAUUAUAUCUACAAAAUAAUAAAUAAUUUUAUAAAGCAAUUUGAUUGAAAUAUAUAAUUUAAUUAGCUACGUAUAUUAAUAUUGACGGCAUCAAAGCCACGACAACUUAAACGCACAAUUACAAAUAAGAUUUUUAAUACUCUGUAAAACCAAAAAAGUCCUAUAGAGAACUAUUAAAGGAAUGCUUCCAUACAUUUAUAUCAGCUUUUCAUUAUAAUUAUAACACUUGACGUACAUCAAAGGAUUACGAAAUUUAGGUGACGGUGACUUGGUUGUUGAGAAAGGCAUGAUAUAUACGAUAGUUUGCGUACCGAUAGUUUAGGUAGUAUGGUAUGUUGUCAACAUGACGCUUGUUCAUAACAAUUUUUCACACCUCAUUGUGUGGUGGGGACCCUUUUUUAAAUAAGUCUUUGUCUGUGUUUCAACUUCCAAUGGUCCAUGCUGGCAACCGUUAGUAAAUGUAGAGGUUGGCAAAUGGCACAUACCACUGGUGUUCGUUGACAACAUGGUAAGUACACCAUACCAAACAUCCUAAUAUAUAUAUAUAUAUAUAGUCAUCAAAAGAUGAAUUUAAAAUGAAAAGUUGUGGUCAAUUUGGCUAUGUGACAAGUAUGUAUUACACUUAAACAAUAGUCAUCAAAUAUAAAAAAAAAAUGUGGUAUGAUUGCCAAUGAGACAACUCUCCACAGGAGACCACAAUGAUACAGAAAUUAACUUAAAAACUAUAUGUCAGUGACAGCCUUCAACAAUUAGCAAAGUCCAUAUCAAAGUGUUCGUUCUAUCGGUUUCUAUCCUAUGAUUUAUAAACAGAGCAUGCAUGUAACAAUGGAAUACUUCAUUUAUUCUGAUAUAAAAAAAAAGAUGUGGUAUGAUUACUAAUGAGACAACUGUCAUAUUACAAACAAUGUGUUUUAUCAACUUGAUUAACUAAUAUUAUCACUUACUUCAAACUUGCUCUUACCAAUGUUCACUUUGUCAAACUAGUGAACAAUAAGUUGUACCUUAAAUGAAUCAAUGAAAGACUACGAGGAACUCUUCACUGGUAGUAGCAAUUUCUGCACUGUGGCAGUAAUGGUUGACAACAUUUUUGAUCCAUACAAGCAAUUCUUUACUUCUUUCUUUUGACUUAAAUACAGGAACAAGUUUUAUUUAUAUUAAUCCAAAUUGAAACUUGGAAUAUUUGUGCAUGUUUAUUGAAUACAAUUUAAAGCAGAUGAAUGAGGUUAUUUGGAUUAUCAUCUUCUCCCGCUAUUAUCUACUGCAUCGGCGCAAUCGGAUCAGCUGUUUUCUGAAGAACCCCGG